rnacentral:tRNA from 1 species
AAGAGAUUAGUUUAAUAAAAUACAGGCUUGUCAUGCCUGAGUUACCUAAUGGGUAUCUCUUU